UAACGGGGCUAAACCAUGCACCGAAGCUGCGGCAGCGACACUGUGUGUUGUUGGGUAGGGGAGCGUUCUGUAAGCCUGUGAAGGUGUGUCGUGAGGCAUGCUGGAGGUAUCAGAAGUGCGAAUGCUGACAUAAGUAACGAUAAAGCGGGUGAAAAGCCCGCUCGCCGGAAGACCAAGGGUUCCUGUCCAACGUUAAUCGGGGCAGGGUGAGUCGACCCCUAAGGCGAGGCCGAAAGGCGUAGUCGAUGGGAAACGGGUUAAUAUUCCCGUACUUGGUGUUACUGCGAAGGGGGGACGGAGAAGGCUAUGUUGGCCGGGCGACGGUUGUCCCGGUUUAAGCGUGUAGGUGUGUGUUCCAGGUAAAUCCGGUUCACUUUAACACUGAGGCGUGACGACGAGGCACUACGGUGCUGAAGCAACAAAUGCCCUGCUUCCAGGAAAAGCCUCUAAGCAUCAGGUAACAUCAAAUCGUACCCCAAACCGACACAGGUGGUCAGGUAGAGAAUACCAAGGCGCUUGAGAGAACUCGGGUGAAGGAACUAGGCAAAAUGGUGCCGUAACUUCGGGAGAAGGCACGCUGACACGUAGGUGAAGUGAUUUACUCAUGGAGCUGAAGUCAGUCGAAGAUACCAGCUGGCUGCAACUGUUUAUUAAAAACACAGCACUGUGCAAACACGAAAGUGGACGUAUACGGUGUGACGCCUGCCCGGUGCCGGAAGGUUAAUUGAUGGGGUCAGCGCAAGCGAAGCUCCUGAUCGAAGCCCCGGUAAACGGCGGCCGUAACUAUAACGGUCCUAAGGUAGCGAAAUUCCUUGUCGGGUAAGUUCCGACCUGCACGAAUGGCGUAAUGAUGGCCAGGCUGUCUCCACCCGAGACUCAGUGAAAUUGAACUCGCUGUGAAGAUGCAGUGUACCCGCGGCAAGACGGAAAGACCCCGUGAACCUUUACUAUAGCUUGACACUGAACAUUGAGCCUUGAUGUGUAGGAUAGGUGGGAGGCUUUGAAGUGUGGACGCCAGUCUGCAUGGAGCCGACCUUGAAAUACCACCCUUUAAUGUUUGAUGUUCUAACGUGGACCCGUUACCCGGGUUGCGGACAGUGUCUGGUGGGUAGUUUGACUGGGGCGGUCUCCUCCUAAAGAGUAACGGAGGAGCACGAAGGUUGGCUAAUCCUGGUCGGACAUCAGGAGGUUAGUGCAAUGGCAUAAGCCAGCUUGACUGCGAGCGUGACGGCGCGAGCAGGUGCGAAAGCAGGUCAUAGUGAUCCGGUGGUUCUGAAUGGAAGGGCCAUCGCUCAACGGAUAAAAGGUACUCCGGGGAUAACAGGCUGAUACCGCCCAAGAGUUCAUAUCGACGGCGGUGUUUGGCACCUCGAUGUCGGCUCAUCACAUCCUGGGGCUGAAGUAGGUCCCAAGGGUAUGGCUGUUCGCCAUUUAAAGUGGUACGCGAGCUGGGUUUAGAACGUCGUGAGACAGUUCGGUCCCUAUCUGCCGUGGGCGCUGGAGAACUGAGGGGGGCUGCUCCUAGUACGAGAGGACCGGAGUGGACGCAUCACUGGUGUUCGGGUUGUCAUGCCAAUGGCACUGCCCGGUAGCUAAAUGCGGAAGAGAUAAGUGCUGAAAGCAUCUAAGCACGAAACUUGCCCCGAG
rnacentral:rRNA from 2 species